rnacentral:rRNA from 1 species
CCUACGGGAGGCAGCAGUGGGGAAUAUUGCACAAUGGGGGAAACCCUGAUGCAGCGACGCCGCGUGAGUGAAGAAGUCUUUCGGUAUGUAAAGCUCUAUCAGCAGGGAAGAAAAUGACGUUACCUGAUUAAGAAGCCCCGGCUAACUACGUGCCAUCAGCCGCCGUAAUACGUAGGGGGCAAGCGUUAUCCGGAUUUACUGGGUGUAAAGUGAGCGUAGACGGCAGCACAAGUCUGGAGUGAAAUGCCGGGGCUUAACCCCGGAACUGCUUUGGAUACUGGGAGGCUAGAGUGCAGGAGAGGUGAGUGGAAUUCCUAGUGUAGCGGUGAAAUGCGUAGAGAUUAGGAGGAACACCAGUGGCGAAGGCGGCUUACUGGACGGUAACUGACGUUGAGGCGCGAAAGCGUGGGGAGCAAACAGGAUUAGAUACCCGAGUAGUC